rnacentral:lncRNA from 1 species
CUUGGCCUGUGUGGUCUUUCAAGAGGUCCUGAUUUGUUGUCACUCAUGAUUGAAUUAAGUUAGCUGUCUGAGCACAGGGAGAUGAUCGUCAAAGUUUGUCACAAUUGGAGUUCUAAUCUUCCUACACCUUUUCAAGUGAAAAAAAUGAAGUCAGAACAGAAAAAUAUUUCAAAAGUACCAGCAGAAAUAAGCAGUUGAUCACUGAAACAAAGAUUUCGUUCAUAUUCAAAACAAAUGUAAAUUCAUCAAUAUAAGUAGUCCAAAAUGCAACGACAAACAUAAGGAGAGCAAAUUAAAGCAAAACAAACAUGGCUAAUUUUAAUACAAUGGGGGUUAUAUAUACUUAUAAAUUUGGUCAUGUGGAUGCGGUAUAUAUUCAACGGGUUAAAUUAAACUCAAUAUUUUCAACAUGAAAAAUAGAUAUUUAUGUGAAAACUACUAAAAUGUUAACAAAUGGAGUACUAAAUUCUGAAUCAACGAUUCCAAAAGUAAAAUAUAUUCAAUGCUAAGAAGCUUGAAUUUUGAGACCAUCAUAUUUAAUUUAUGAAUCGACUUCUAGAUAUAUAUACCAUAGCACUUUACGUGAUGAAUUCCAAGAAAUUCUUGAAGAAUAAAGAAAUAAGAAAGUAAUGUCAAUAUUGAUGGUGUAACAUGCAAGAAAAAACGGAAGGGAAAAAAGGGAGAAGAAAUGAAGAAGGGAAUGGAGAUUAUUACCAGUGACAUGAG